rnacentral:misc_RNA from 1 species
ACAAACUUGGUCAUUUAGAGGAAGUAAAAGUCGUAACAAGGUUUCCGUAGGUGAACCUGCGGAAGGAUCAUUAGUGAUUCAAGAGGGAAAGAGAUGUGCUGGCAAAGAAUUCUUUGCAACAACUGUGCACUCUCUUACCUUUUCAAAUUUUGAAACCUGUGCACCCUUUGUAGGCAGGGAUUUUCCUGUCUAUGCUUUUAUCAUGCAACCCUGCAAAAUGUGUAUGAAUAGAGAUACAAAUAAAAGUACAACUUUCAACAAUGGAUCUCUUGGCUCUCGCAUCGAUGAAGAACGCAGC